rnacentral:rRNA from 1 species
AACGCGAAGAACCUUACCUGGCCUUGACAUCCACGGAACCCCUGAGAGAUUGGGGGGUGCCUUCGGGAACCGUGAGACAGGUGCUGCAUGGCUGUCGUCAGCUCGUGUCGUGAGAUGUUGGGUUAAGUCCCGCAACGAGCGCAACCCUUGUCCCUAGUUGCCAGCACGUAAAGGUGGGAACUCUAGGGAGACCGCCGGUGACAAACCGGAGGAAGGUGGGGAUGACGUCAAGUCCUCAUGGCCCUUACGGCCAGGGCUACACACGUACUACAAUGGUGGGUACAAAGGGUUGCCAAGCCGCGAGGUGGAGCCAAUCCCAGAAAACCCAUCUCAGUCCGGAUCGGAGUCUGCAACUCGACUCCGUGAAGUCGGAAUCGCUAGUAAUCGCGGAUCAGCAAUGCCGCGGUGAAUACGUUCCCGGGCCUUGUA